CCACCCAACACACUGUGUGUUGAGUUUCAACCUUACUUGGGCUUGAUUUCAUUUGAAAGGAAGCCUUUUCCUUCGUCUGAAGGUAGAGAUGUACUCUCUCGGCUUCUGGCUUUGGCUGCCUGCCGCCAUAUCUCCCCUGCCAUUACGGACUGUCCCUCUGGACCUGAAUCAGCUUUACCAUGGACUGGAGAGAUGGCUCAGUGG